rnacentral:rRNA from 1 species
CCUACGGGAGGCAGCAGUGGGGAAUCUUGCGCAAUGGGCGAAAGCCUGACGCAGCCAUGCCGCGUGUAUGAUGAAGGUCUUAGGAUUGUAAAAUACUUUCACCGGUGAAGAUAAUGACUGUAGCCGGAGAAGAAGCCCCGGCUAACUUCGUGCCAGCAGCCGCGGUAAUACGAAGGGGGCUAGCGUUGCUCGGAAUUACUGGGCGUAAAGGGAGCGUAGGCGGACAUUUAAGUCAGGGGUGAAAUCCCAGAGCUCAACUCUGGAACUGCCUUUGAUACUGGGUGUCUUGAGUGUGAUAGAGGUAUGUGGAACUCCGAGUGUAGAGGUGAAAUUCGUAGAUAUUCGGAAGAACACCAGUGGCGAAGGCGACAUACUGGAUCAUUACUGACGCUGAGGCUCGAAAGCGUGGGGAGCAAACAGGAUUAGAUACCCUGGUAGUCCACGCCGUAAACGAUGAUUGCUAGUUGUCGGGAUGUUUACAUCUCGGUGACGCAGCUAACGCAUUAAGCAAUCCGCCUGGGGAGUACGGUCGCAAGAUUAAAACUCAAAUGAAUUGACGG